CUAACUAAAAAUAAUGAAACACUAAAAAUUCACUUUCAAACGCUAAAAGCUAAGGCGCCGUCAGCUUUAUCUUCUCAAACCCAGCCUUGGCGUCGUUCAUCCAUCUUCAUCGUUCAGCUUCAUCUUCUCAAACCCAGCCUUCGUCAUUCAUCUAUCUUCAUCACUGCCCUUCAUCGCACCCAGCCUUCAUUGCAUUCAUCUCCUUCAUCGUUGUGUUAGCAAAGAUCGCAACUCUUCGCACUCAAGGUCGAAACCCUUUGCGCUCAAGAUCGCAACCCUUGCUGUUUUGCUUGUUGUCCUUCUUGCCGUUCUGGUCGCGGUUCUGCUCGCUUCUCUCUGUCGCGGUUCUGCUCGCUUCACUGUCGCGGUUCUGCUCGCUUCUCUGUCGCAGUUCUGCUCGCUUCUCUGUUGCAGUUCUGCUCGCCGUGUUGCUCGAAGGGUUGAAGUGUCCAGCACCAAUUGCAAAUGGGGUUGCAGAAUUACCAGUUUCAUUAGUUAAACACUUAAAAGAUUUCCUGUGUUGUCUGUUGUCCCAGCUGCAAAAUAAAAAAAAUGAACUUCAAAGCCGUGUAGAGGCAGGGGAAAUCAUGAGGAUGCAUUUGUAGCAGUGCUAGGAAAGGACCAACUAGCUCGAGUUCGUUGUUGUGGGACUUCAAUUAUAAGAAGCUCUCUUAGAAAGGAUGAGGAGAUUUGCCAAGUGAAGGUUGAAUACAAUGAUAAGGUCUCAUCAUUAGAAAAGAAGAUGGACGGUGUUUGUGGUCUAUUAAAGGUGAUGUUGCACCAACUCAAUCCUGAAAUGAGUGACGAAGAGGUAGCAACCUUAGUGCAAGCAACCCAAAAUUCUCUUUUGGAUGCCUCAAGUAGUAGACCAAGAAAUACUCCCCACUCCUCCCGAGCAACUCUAAUUCCACCAACUAAUGAUAGCAGUGAUAAAAACAAUGGAGCUCAUAAUGGAUGAUCACACUACUCAUGAAAUUUGAUAUUUUGUAACUAAGUAUAUAAAAGAAGAAG